GCUUGUUUCUGCUGGAUAGGUACAAAACUGAAAUGAUACAGUGAAGAUCGGAAUUGCACCUGUGCAAGAUGACAUGUACAUUCAUUGAAGUAUUUUAUAUAUUC